UUGAUCCUGGCUCAGGACGAACGCUGGCGGCGUGCCUAAUACAUGCAAGUCGAGCGGAAUGAUGAAGAAGCUUGCUUCUUCUGAUUUUAGCGGCGGACGGGUGAGUAACACGUGGGCAACCUACCUUGUAGAUUGGGAUAACUCCGGGAAACCGGGGCUAAUACCGAAUAAUCCAUUUUGCUUCAUGGCAAGAUGUUGAAAGGCGGCUUCGGCUGUCACUACGAGAUGGGCCCGCGGCGUAUUAGCUAGUUGGUAGGGUAAUGGCCUACCAAGGCGACGAUACGUAGCCGACCUGAGAGGGUGAUCGGCCACACUGGGACUGAGACACGGCCCAGACUCCUACGGGAGGCAGCAGUAGGGAAUCUUCCACAAUGGACGAAAGUCUGAUGGAGCAACGCCGCGUGAGUGAAGAAGGUUUUCGGAUCGUAAAACUCUGUUGUAAGGGAAGAACACGUACGAGAGUAACUGCUCGUACCUUGACGGUACCUUAUUAGAAAGCCACGGCUAACUACGUGCCAGCAGCCGCGGUAAUACGUAGGUGGCAAGCGUUGUCCGGAAUUAUUGGGCGUAAAGC
rnacentral:rRNA from 1 species